CAGAGUGUGACAGCUAUUACAAGUACUCAAAACAAAGUAUCUGACAGCAAAAUACGAGAGAACCGUAGACUAAUUCGGUGUCAAACCGGCUGUCAAUGUGAGUCACCAUGUUUUAAGCUAGAAACAUUGGAAGAAGGUAAACAGGUAAGGGCAAAAUCUAAGCAGUGUCAUUUGCCUUUGUCCAUAUAUUGUUUGCAUAACAUAGAAUAUAUUUAUUGAUGGAAGACUGUAGUUACACCGUUUGCAUCUUGACAGCUAAAUAACCUUAAAUAAAUGUACAAACUUGCCAUAGCCGCUAAAUUGAACUCCAUUAUUCUCUGCUACAUAUAGCAGCCAUGCUAAUCGAACUCAAACACCAAAUCACUUGAGGAACUAUCAAUCCAAAAGCUAAACAAUUCGGAAAAGAAAUCUGCAAAUAUGAUUACUGACCAGACAUACAAUAGCAUAGGAAAUGAAUGGUAUAAGUUUUUCGAGUGACAGGUUAAUUUUUGGUGCCAGCAUAGCGGUUGACAAAGGCCAGGGCAAUGCUUGUCAUGUGUGCAACUUUCUCAAUUUGGCUUCUUACAGUGGCUUUGACAUCUCCAUCUGUGGCAUUC
rnacentral:lncRNA from 1 species